rnacentral:rRNA from 1 species
UACGUAGGGUGCGAGCGUUGUCCGGAAUUACUGGGCGUAAAGAGCUCGUAGGUGGUUUGUCGCGUUGUCCGUGAAAACUCACAACUCAAUUGUGGGCGUGGCGGGCGAUACGGGCAGACUGGAGUACUGCAGGGGAGACUGGAAUUCCUGGUGUAGCGGUGGAAUGCGCAGAGUAUCAGGAGGAACACCGGUGGCGAAGGCGG